ACACUCCUACGCGUGCUUUAAAUUCAUUAAUAAUUCAUGAGCAAUUCAGCCAAUGAUAAUCACCUAUUUGAUCACAAGAUGCCAUUUGGAUAAUCCGGUGAAACUUGAUGAAAGUCACUAGUGUUUUCAUCAAAUAUCUUAAUUACGCAUGCAAAAUUACUUGAAUAGAAUUCCUAAUUUCGUUAUGCUUGGUUAAGAAUUCCAUUCAAAUCAGCACACGAAAACAUUCUGUAAUACGUCUCGAUCAUAGAUAUCUUAUAUACACUAGAUAGUGCAUCUAAUUAUUCUGAAGUUCAAAAAUUGAAGCCGUGAUUGCAGUCUCAGGUCGUUCCCAUGAAAUUAGAAGAUUCGUAUGUUUUCUAUUUCUUAAACAGGGAACUUAAACAUUAAGUUAACCCUAUUCCAAAUUCGUUUUUAAAAUAUUCAAAUGACGAAAAUUAUUGUUGUUUUUAAGCGUUUAUUAGCAAGUGGGAACGACCAACAUGGCCGCCAUCUAUUCAAAUGGGGGUAACCGCUGGAAUAUUGUUGGCUUCAAUUUUACUAAAAGAGAUGCGCUAUCUAGUGUAUAUAAGAUAUCUAUGGUC